rnacentral:rRNA from 1 species
CAAUUAUUUAUAGCCUCUGGCUAUAGGAAAUUGUUAGUGGCAGACGGGUGAGUAAUGCGUAGGAAUCUACCUAGUAGUACGGAAUAGCCAUUAGAAAUGGUGGGUAAUACUGUAUAAUCCCCGAGGGGGAAAGAUUUAUCGCUAUUAGAUGAGCCUACGUUAGAUUAGCUAGUUGGUGAGGUAAUGGCUUACCAAGGCUAUGAUCUAUAGCUGGUCUGAGAGGACGAUCAGCCACACUGGAACUGAGAUACGGUCCAGACUCCUACGGGAGGCAGCAGUGGGGAAUAUUGGACAAUGGGCGAAAGCCUGAUCCAGCUAUGCCGCGUGAGUGAAGAAGGCCUUCGGGUUGUAAAACUCUUUCAAUAGGGAAGAUAAUGACGG